AACGAACGCUGGCGGCGCGCCUAAUACAUGCAAGUCGAGCGAGAAGACGUAGCAAUACGUUUGUAAAGCGGCGAACGGGUGAGGAAUACAUGGGUAACCUACCCUCGAGUGGGGAAUAACUAGCCGAAAGGUUAGCUAAUACCGCGUACGCUUCUUGGACUUCGGUUCAGGGAGGAAAGCGAUACCGUGGGUAUCGCGCUCUUGGAUGGGCUCAUGUCCUAUCAGCUUGUUGGGAGGUAACGGCUCACCAAGGCUUCGACGGGUAGCUGGUCUGAGAGGACGAUCAGCCACACUGGCACUGCGACACGGGCCAGACUCCUACGGGAGGCAGCAGUAAGGAAUAUUGCGCAAUGGGCGAAAGCCUGACGCAGCGACGCCGCGUGGGGGAUGAAGGUCUUCGG
rnacentral:rRNA from 1 species